UUUAACCAUGAGGGAAAUCGUGCACAUCCCCUGGUCAGUGUGGCAACCAGAUGGGUGCCAAGUGCUGGGAUGUGAUCAAUGAUGAAUGUGAAAUGGACCCCACCAGCACCUAACAUGGGGACAGCGACCUGCAGCUGGACUGCAUCUCCAUGUGCUACAGUGAAGCCACAGAUGGCAAAUAUGUUCCUUGUGCUCUCCUGGUGGAUCUAGAACCUGGGACCAUGGACUCUGCUAGCUCAGACCCUUUUGACCAGGUGCUUAAACCAGACAACUUUGUUUUUGGUCAGUCUGGGGCAAGCAACAACUGGGCCAAAGGCCACUACAUAGAGGGGGCCAAGCUGGUUGAUUCAGUCAUAGAUGUGGUGCAGGAGGAUGCAGAGAGCUGUGACUACCCUCAGGGCUUCCAGCUGACCCACUCAAUGGGCUCUGGAAUGUAUACUCUCCUUAUCAGCAAGAUCUGAGAAGAGUGCCCUGAUUACAUCAUGAACAUCUUUAGUGUGGUGCCUCCACCCAAAGUUUCUGACACCAUGGUCGACCCCUACAACAUCACCCUCUCCAUCCAUCAGCCGGUAGAGAACACUGAUGAGACCUACUGCAUUCACAACGAGGCCCUCUAUGACAUCUGCCUCCGCACUUUGAAGCUGACCACACCAACCUACAGGGACCUGAACCAACUUGUCUCAGCCACUAUAAGCAUUGUUACCACCUGUCUCCACUUCCCUGGCCAGCUCAAUGCUGACCUCCGCAAGUUGGCAGUCAACCUGGUGCCCUUCCCACGUCUCCACUAAUUCAUGGCUGGCUUUGCCCUCUCACCAGCUGUGGAAGCCAGCAGCAUCGAGCUCUCACAGUGCCCAGACUCACCCGGCAGGUCUUUGAUGCCAAGAACAUAAUGGCUGCCUGUGACCCCUGCCACAGCUUAUAUCUCACUGUGGCUGCUGUCUUUGUGGAUGGAUGUCCAUGAGCAGAUGCUCAACAUGCAGAACCAGAACAGCAGCUACUUUGUGGAAUGGAUCCCCAACAAUAUCAAGACAGCUGUCUGUGACAUCCCACCUCAUGGCCUCAAGAUGGCGAUCACCUUCAUUGGCAACAGUGUGGCCAUCCAGGAGCUCUUCAGGUGCACCUUGGAGCAGUUCACUGCCAUGUUCCCCUGGAAGACCUUCCUACACUGGUACCCAGGCGAGGGCAUGGAUGAGAUGAGAGUUCACCAAGGCUGAGAGCAACAUGAACAACCUCAUCUCUGAGUAUCAGCAGUACCAGGAUGCCACCACAGAAGAGGAGGAGAAUUUUGGUGAGGAGGCUGAAGAGGAGGCCUAAGGCAGAGCCCCCAUCACCUCAGGCUUCUCAGUUCCCUUAGCCAUCUUACUCACCUGCCACUUUUCUCUUUUUUCAAACACAAAUCUAGAUCUCAGAAUAUGUGUUUGCUGCCUCAAACACAAAUCUAGAUCUAGAACAGUGCCUAGCAUGUAGCAGGCACUCAAUAAGUACUUGUUUGUUGUAUGUUUCCUUUCUCUUUCCACUCUGGGAAGCCUAGGUUUCUGACACUCUGGGAAACCCUGUAUUUCCUUCUGGUGCCCAUCCCUUCCAUCUGUCCAGUUAAUAUUUCCCUCUUUUUAAAAUCUGCAAGAAGCUGGAUCUCAUCCAGAUCUCAUUUAAAACCCACUGGGUUUUGAAACCCAUGUGGAUAAUGGCCACCAUCCUAAGCCCAAAGCGAAAGAUGGUAGAAGGUGGCAGGUAGAAGUCACUACAAGGAAGGGGAUGGGAUUUUCCAUCCUAAAAGUUUUGGAGAGGGAAAUCCAGGCUACUAAAGUCAUAAUUUCCAGGUAAUUCCAUUUUCCAUUUCUCAGCUUCAAGGGAGGUGUUAGCAGUAUUUUCUCCAUCUUCAGUCUCCCUCCAAGCUGUGCCCUUUGGAGAGGUCUGCCCCACUCUGUCAAGUAUAAUCUUUCCCUCUCUGACUCUGCCUGUCUCACACAUUGAAUUCCUCCCUUUCCCCUGAUUAGAGAAGGGGAUCAACGUGGGGAAAGAGACCAACCUUGGUCCCUAGGCCUCCAGAAAUGCCCUCCUAAUCUCCACCUUUUCUUAACCCCCAAAGAGGAUUAACAUCCCUGGCUUUAUCUGGGAUGGUAUAUACUGCCACAUCAGUGUUUGAGUCAUUCCCCAGAGGAAAGGAGAACCCUCCUCCAUCUUUUUGCAACAUCUCCUAUCUUCCUUUUGCUAUUGCUUUUUCCCCCUUACGCUUGGUUUUGUUCUGUCCUACACUUCAAAUUUCUAUUUUGAACGUGCUGCUUUUUUUCAUAUUGAAAAGGUGACAUUGCUCCAAGAGCCAAAAAUAAAUGGGAAUUGGAAAAAAAAUGCACAGUUCUCACAAAAACAUGUACACUAAUGUUUAUAGCAGCAUUAUUCAUUGUCAAAAGCUGGAAACAAGCCAGAUGUCUAUCAUCAACUGAUGAACAAAA